rnacentral:rRNA from 1 species
UCGGGAAUUUUGGGCAAUGGGGGAAACCCUGACCCAGCAACGCCGCGUGAAGGAUGAAGUAUUUCGGUAUGUAAACUUCGAAAGAAUAGGAAGAAUAAAUGACGGUACUAUUUAUAAGGUCCGGCUAACUACGUGCCAGCAGCCGCGGUAAUACGUAGGGACCAAGCGUUGUUCGGAUUUACUGGGCGUAAAGGGCGCGUAGGCGGCAUGACAAGUCACUUGUGAAAUCUCUGGGCUUAACCCAGAACGGCCAAGUGAUACUGUCGCGCUAGAGUGCAGAAGGGGCAAUCGGAAUUCUUGGUGUAGCGGUGAAAUGCGUAGAUAUCAAGAGGAACACCUGAGGUGAAGACGGGUUGCUGGGC